UACGUAGGGGGCAAGCGUUGUUCGGAAUUACUGGGCGUAAAGGGCGCGUAGGCGGCACAGCAAGUCGGGAGUGAAAGCCCGGGGCUCAACCCCGGAAUGGCUUUCGAAACUGCUGAGCUAGAGUACAGAAGGGGCAACCGGAAUUCCCAGUGUAGCGGUGAAAUGCGUAGAUAUUGGGAAGAACACCUGAGGCGAAGGCGGGUUGCUGGGCUGAUACUGACGCUGAGGCGCGAAAGCCAGGGGAGCAAACGGGA
rnacentral:rRNA from 1 species